GCUGUUGUGACUGCGGCUUCAUCCAAAGAGAAAAGAGACACUGAGCCAAACAGGGCGACACUCUCCUCACAAUAGUUGUGUUUUUGGUCAGUAAGCGGAUAUUUUGUGACAGCACGCAGCCGAGCCGAUGUUGGCCAUUGUUCUAAACAGGACGGUAUGUGAGCUGAGAGAGGAUGAGCUGAGUCCUGAUGAUCCAGAGGUUGAAUCAGCAGCAGCUUGUGUGUGGAGAGACUCUGACUGGACCAUGUUACUGGGAGGUGGAGUCAAGAGGAGAGCUUCAUCCACAUGUUUCUCCAUGUCAGACCAGUGGUGUAGUCUAUGUGAUACGCAGCGUUCACUUUUGGACCAUGGGGGCUUCCGUCAAGCGUGACGUGGACCCGACGUUAACUACUAAGGAAGCAGUGAAGUUGUGUGGCGGCAACGAGUCGACAACUUGAACUGGUCCAACGCUCGUCAGUGGAGAAGGAAUGUGGAGAAAAAACAAUGAGAAGAAAGAAAAGGAAGCCCAGUGACACUAUUUGAGAUGGUAGGGAAGGAGAGCUGAUGACGCUGUCGUCCUACCUGGUAAGUGGAACUCAUGUAUGUUAGAAUAAUAGUCACCACUAUUGGAACAGCAGCUGAUUGGCUCAUUGAAUUCUACCUAAAACUAGUCACUGGUGGUUUGGUUGAAAUCAAGGAGCUGCUGCUGCUCUGUGUGUGUGUUUGUGUAGAUGAGAAUUGGACCUGGCCAGCCUUGUGGAGUGAGAGUCAGGAGAGGGAAUUUAAAAACAGGCCUCCUUGGUUAGAGCGGAGAAACGGAAAGUUAGGGAAACAUUAGACGACAUUUAAAGCUGCUAUAAACAGAUUAAAUGUACAAAGUUAACGCUGUGUUCACAUGUUAAUGUAGUUCAUUCAGAAAGUUGUUAAUAAAAAUGAA